rnacentral:rRNA from 1 species
CCUACGGGUGGCUGCAGUGGGGAAUCUUGGACAAUGGGCGAAAGCCUGAUCCAGCAAUGCCGCGUGCGUGAAGAAGGCCUUCGGGUUGUAAAGCGCUUUUGUCGGGGAGGAAAUCCUAACGGUUAAUACCUGUUGGGGAUGACAGUACCCGAAGAAUAAGCACCGGCUAACUACGUGCCAGCAGCCGCGGUAAUACGUAGGGUGCAAGCGUUAAUCGGAAUUACUGGGCGUAAAGCGUCCGCAGGUGGCUUGAUAAGAUAGACGUGAAAUCCCUGGGCUCAACCUAGGAAUUGCGUAUAUGACUGUCUCGCUAGAGUAUGGGAGAGGGGGGUGGAAUUCCGCGUGUAGCAGUGAAAUGCGUAGAGAUGCGGAGGAACACCGAUGGCGAAGGCAACCCCCUGGCCUAAUACUGACACUCAUGGACGAAAGCGUGGGGAGCAAACAGGAUUAGAUACCCUUGUAGUC